UCUGAGAAUAGAGAAGGUAAAGUGCUGUG
rnacentral:piRNA from 1 species